UGGGGAAUUUUGCACAAUGGGGGAAACCCCGAUGCAGCGACGCCGCGUGAUUUAGAAGGCCUUCGGGUUGUAAAAAUCUUUUCUAUGGGAAGAAAAUGACAGUACCAUAGGAAUAAGGACCGGCUAAUUACGUGCCAGCAGCCGCGGUAAUACGUAAGGUCCGAGCGUUGUCCGGAAUCAUUGGGCGUAAAGGGUACGUAGGCGGGUAAGCAAGUUAGAAGUGAAAUCCUAUAGCUCAACUAUAGUAAGCUUUUAAAACUGCUCAUCUUGAGGUAUGGAAGGGAAAGUAGAAUUCCUAGGGUAGCGGUGAAAUGCGCAGAUAUUAGGAGGAAUACCGGUGGCGAAGGCGACUUUCUGGCCAUAACCUGACGCUGAGGUACGAAAGCGUGGGUAGCAAACAGG
rnacentral:rRNA from 1 species